UACGGAGGGUGCAAGCGUUAUCCGGAUUCACUGGGUUUAAAGGAUGUGUAGGCGGAUAUUUAAGUCCGAGGUGAAAUCUCUGAGCUCAACUCAGAAACUGCCUUGGAUACUAUUUAUCUUGAAUAUCGUUGAGGUAGGCGGAAUAUGUCAUGUAGCGGUGAAAUGCUUAGAUAUGACAUAGAACACCGAUUGCGAAGGCAGCUUGCUAAACGAUUAUUGACGCUGAGGCACGAAAGCGUGGGGAUCAAACAGG
rnacentral:rRNA from 1 species